AGCUGAAUGUCCUUUAGACUUUAGUCCAGUGUUUUCAUUAAAAACUGAAUUUAGUUCUUCCCCAGGAGCUUCAGUGAUAUCUAACCUUGCAGUCUCCAUCACAGUUUCUUGUCUUAUUUUAGAAUAUCUCAUAAUAGGAGUUUUAAAAUAUCAAGAAUUCAACAGUGGUUUAUCAUUACCUUCUGUGCGCUACUAACAAACAUUAGCUUGAGUGUCACUGCCAUUUGCCUAUCAAAGAUCAUCCAUCAAUGUGCUCUCCCUUUGCCAUCUGGUAUUUGCUUUGGAAGAGCUUUACGACUUCUAUCAACACUGCAAUUUUUUUUUCUGCUGAGAUAUCAUGAAUUUCUGAAGAGAAUGAAUGCAUUUUAGUCCGGUGUCUCAGCUUUGACCAUCAACUACAGAGGACCUGCUAGGAAUCUAGCCUCCCAACAGUACUGCCUCAUUGACCCAUGAAAAUCCUCUCACUACAUUAAGGUGUGCAACGAAGGGGGAAAUGCAUGUUUUUAAACCUUCCUUGAAGCCAAAUACUGGCUGCUUCUUUUUCAGUGCACUUUGUCCAAAGGAGAAUAGUUUGGAGCAUGAAGCAGAAAUGCAACUCUUCCAGAAUGGAUUGUUCCAGAUUCCAGUGCACCUAUUCAAAGAUGUUGUGGCUGUACAGAGCUACACAUGAGAAAUAUAUUUAACAGGCAAUGCUUUCUUGACUGUUUUUGUGGCAUAAACCAAUAGCAAGAUGAAGAACCAGGACUAGAGUUCACAAGUGGUAGGGCCAGCCCUGCAGCUGAUGAAAGACAUGACAGAAUCCUGGCAUCAUGAAAGCUUGUCCAAAGUGGAGGAGGAGGAGAAGAUCUGUUCAUGAACUGCUGCAAGAAUAAAGCAACACCAGGGUCAAAUGUUCAGGAUCAAAAUUGCAGACAAAAUCUGCGUGAGAUGCUCCAAAGCUGCUCUGAUUAGUACCAAUCUCAAGGACAGAAAAUAAGUAACCUAUGGAUUUAUAUGGAAAAUAUUCAGAACCAGAAUAAG